rnacentral:lncRNA from 1 species
GCUACUUUCUACAUAUUUUUAAUUUCUAUUGAAGUCAGAAUUCGAUUGAUAAUCACAAUGUCCUAACAACAACAUCGUGACCUAUCAGUCUUCUUCCUCCUUUCCUUCCAUCUACCACACACAUGCUCCGAUGGGGUUUUUGGGCUCAAUUGGUUUAGUCUAAGUCCAAGAGCAUAAUGGGCUGAUUUAUUACAUUCUUCUCCCCUUA